rnacentral:lncRNA from 1 species
GGCCUUGCUCUUAUGUCAUUUGACUAAAGGUUUCAUAGACCAAAGAUAACCAUCCAACUUGUUGGAAUACUGAAACAAUUGCUGCCUGCUGUCCACACACCACAUAAAAUAUGUGGAUUUCGUAAAUUCUGCAAAAAAGGUUUGGAAGCUGAUCAAUCAAUACUGGAACUCCCUCUUCUCCAGAAGAGACAUCCUGGCCUCCAUGCAGAGGAAUGUGUGGAUGGACAUAUAUUUAAGGAAGACACUAAACCAGAAACUACUACAUUACACCCUCUUAGAAGACUUCUAAGAUUGUUGUCAUGCCUACCACAGACAUUCAGAUGAUGUGUAUUGUUGAUUGUGAUUUCAUGUUUGGACCUGAUGAAGGAACCCAGGAGAUGAACAUAUGCCUGAGAAGACGAACUAGUGUGGAACUGUCAGCCAGGUUUUUGAUGAGUGCUCAGACUGAUUCCUGAUCUAGCAACCACAUUUACUAUAGUGGACAGAUGCUGUAGUCUCUGAUGAGGAGUUGCUAGCUGUUAGGAAGAACCUGAAAUGGGCUCCACUGCAUGAGGUUUGAAGUCUCCAGAGCAGCAAAGAGAGUGGGGAGUAGAACUCAUCAUCUUUAGGUCACUCAUCAUCG